GAAUAGAGAACACAUCUCACCCACCCACGCCGCUCACUCCUCUCCACACGGCAACAACAGAUAAAUCCCCUAGGUUCGCCGGCCAGCGCGACCGGCGAGAAUCCAACGGGGCACGAACCGGUGAUUGUGAGCACCACAUCGAGGCCGGCUCUGCCACUCGAUCCGCAUCCUCGUCCAUGAAGAACUGGUAACCUGAAUCAAAAGGAACCCAACUUCAGAAACUAGCUGCAGCGUAGACAUCAAGCAAGCAAGGGUACCACAUCGCAGCGUAGACAUAGUCGCCUGGCUACCGGAUCCAUUCUGGGCCCUGUUUGAGGUGAAGGCGAUGCUUAAUGACAGUCGUGGUGUCCUAGGCGAAGACGAUGCUUAAUGGCCAGCAUAGACAUAGUCGCCUGGCUCUUCUAAGAUACCACGACUGUCAUUAAGCAUCAUCUUCACUUCAAACAGGGCCGAGGUUGAGCAGCAGGACAUCCUCCACGCAUGUAAGCUCCCAAUACUUCAUAGAGACAUAAGAUUUUGUGGAUGGAUGCGGGGGAGGCAGAUUUUUAUCACCUGUUUAUGACAUUUUUUUACGGUUGUUCUUGGUCUCUAUGGCCCCACUAGGUUUGGAGAAGGAAGAAAGGCAGCAUUAGUAGUGUGUGAGACAUGGUGAUGGGGCUUUGACCUUUCUUUCUUUUUGAUCCGGGUUUUGACCUCUCCCAUGUCGCGCUUUUAUAUACCAUUCUAGUUACUUCUUUUAAUUUCCCAAAAAAUAACUAGUUGGCACGUGGUCGCUACAUUAUAAUAUAAAUUUAAACCAUCGACCAUCUGCUCUGAUUUACUUGCUUUCCGGUUGUAGUAUUUAUCAUACUCCCUCCAUUCUAAAAAUACAGUGCAUAUUUUGUUUUCUAAAAGCCAAGAAAAAUUUAUCGACAUCGACAAUACAAACUAGUAUCAUUAAAUUCAUUAUGAUGUGUACUUUAUAUUUUAUCUAUUCAGUACUUUAGAUAUUAAUAUGCUAAAAACUUGGUCAAACAUAGAAACAUUUGACUUUGAAAAAACAAAAUAUGCACUAUAUUGUUGAAGGGAGGGAGUACUGUUCUCAGUUGAUGUCAUCAUCUGCUGUGUUUCGCAUGCCCUUUAUUUUGAUCCAUAAUAAUGCAGGUAUUUGGCAGACUGGCACCGACACAUUCCUCUGUUCUGUGAAGCAAACAGAGUUAGAUCAUAAUCAGCAGCGAUCCUUCGUUCUUCAAUCCAGAAAAGGCUGAUAUCAGCUUUAGGAAACCAUGAAGCUAGCUUACGAAUUAAUCUUCCUGGGGUUCUUACAGUCUGUCGCAUAUCAGAUGUUUGAUCAAGAGGGCUCUGUUUGAGGUGAAGAUGAUGCUUAAUGACAGUCGUGGUGUCCUAGAAGACCGGAAUCGCUAUCUAGAUACUGCAUGUAGUACUAUUGCUACUGUCAUGUGUGAUCCUGACGGCAACGUGGUCGAAAUAAGCUUGAGCUCGUCAGGGUUAAGUGGAAUCUUGUCGCCCAACAUUGCAAAGUUGACAACACUACAAUGACUGUAAGAUCAAGCAUCAAUUACUUAUGAAAUAUAUGAUUUUUUCCUCAUGAAAAUGGUGUAUUGAUAGAAAUCCGUUAAAAAUGGUUUUACUAUCGUUAUUGUCAUAUAUCUUUGGUUCAGGUUUUUAGAUGAUAAAAAUACAACUGGAGGAAUACCACAGGAGGUUGGGAAUCUUUUAAGUUUGACAAGUCUUAAACUUGAAAAUAAUUAAUUCAAUGGAUCAAUAUCCGAUUUUCUUGGGCGCAUUUUGAAACUGCAAAAUUUGUAUGUCAGACCAUGACUUGUGUUAUCUCUUAGUAUUACAGUUAAUUAAUAAACAUAAGGGUGUGGUAACUUCAAUAGGGUUCCGAGCCAAAAUCCUCUAAGUGGAAAUAUUCCAAUCUCUUAGUCAAAUAUAUUCCAUCAUUGAAUUCCAUGCUAACACAAGAAGAAAAAUGACUGAAUGUUAUUGUUGUCAUUGCAAGCCUUGUAUUUAUUUUAAUAAGCAAAUAACACCAUACGAAUUCAAUUAUCUAAUGAUCUACUUUUGUGUUCUGCAACAAUCUGUCAUACAACAAUAUUAGUGGUGAAAUACCUGAACAACUACAUGCGUCCCUAUGCAAGUAUGGCUUGCCUGAACUUUAAUAAUCCCUCCAAUCCGAAUUAGUUGACACAACCUCUAUACAAUGUCCAUAUUACAUUAUAUAGAGGUUGCGUCAAAUAAUUCAAAUCGGAUGGAGUAGCUUAUAUUUGUAUAAGCAAUUUUAUGCUCUCCUUCAAUUAAGUGUAAUCAUGUGGUUCUAGCUAUACCGUCAACCACUUAAAUUGUGGUUCACACUUAAUGUCAUGCAAAGGAAACAUCAACAAUACAAGUAAUCCAGAAACCUACAUGACAAUCUAUAUAAAACCCAACAUUUGGUUGAAAAACACGUGCUUGCAUUUCAUACUUAACAUUUAUUAACAGGUGGAUCAAGAAAAUCCACCAUAAAAGUGGUUCUUGGAUGCAUUGGUGGAGCAAUAGUUUUUGUUGCUAUGUGUGUUCUAAUCUCGCGAAGAAUGGCUUGGCAAUGUGAUUUAUUUUUUGUGUUCUAUGUUAGUUUUUUUAGAACGAGUUCCAGGUUAGUUAGGAUUAGGGGUAAAAUAUUUUUGUUAAUGCAUGUUUACCAUAUUAAAAUUUUCCAUCUAUUAUAGUGGAAUUCUACAACGAAAGGCUUUUUAAUCAACUAAGGACAUGAUAAACAUGUAAACUAAAUUCAACAUGAGCAUUGUCUCAGCCUAGAUCUUGGGCCGACACAAUAUGUCAGGACCCCGACUCAAUGCCACAUCGAUCUAGCAUGUAACACCUCAUAUCACUUUGCGGCCUCACGCACGGUAUUCCCACGGGUGUCGCCUUACCUUAGCCCGGGACCGUUUGCGCCUUUUGGCACACGUAUAUGACAGUGUCGCUAGCAUCCAUAUGAUAAGGAGCCCGGGCUGACAUGGCUAGUCGUAAACCCAAAGUGGCACAGACUUACAGGGACA